GUAUUACCAUAUGUAAAGCUUUUAGAGCGUUUUUAAUUAUAUAUAAGCGCAACAUAUUGUUUUUUUAUUAUUAUUUUUGUUCUUAAUCUAAACAAAAUUAAAUAAAAUUAAAUAAAAUUAAUUUUAUAACAUGCAUAUAAGCACUCCACUACAUCCCAUUUAAUCUCCACAUAUGUAGGCUUUCUAAGGACAAGUAAAUACAUAUAUAUAUAUAUAUACAAGCACAUGGUUUUAUUUUAUCUUUUUUUUUUUUUUUUUUUUUUUUUUUAUGACAAAUCAGCUAAUUUGAAUUAAAAAAAAAAAAAAAAAAAAAAAAAAAAAAAAAAAAAAAAAAAAAAAUGAUGAUGAUGAGAUUUUUAUUCAAAAGUAGUAUAAAACGUAGCUUCACAAGUGUAAAAGUAAAACUAGAAAGUUUUGAACAACUUUCUACGAAUUUUAUUCAAUGUAUUGAAAAAUAUCGAACAAAAAAAGACAUAUCAAUAGAAAGUUAUAAAAAUUACAAAAAAGAAAUAAAAGAAUGUAUUAAUAGUUUAUUUAGUUCCGAUGUUUUGACAAAGCUUGGUAAAAAAGAUUUCAAAAUUAUGUUUACGUAUUGUAUAAUGUUGUCAAAAAGAAUAAUGUUACAAAAGGAUGAUGUAAAAAAUAUGAUUUUAUGUUAUAUACAGUUCAUGACUAAUAACAAUAAAAAUGAACAAAUAAAGAUGAAUGAACAAAAUAAGAUUGAUAGUAUUACUAAUGUUUCUACUAAUAAUAUAUACAAAACAGAGGUAAACGAUUUGUUAUUAAUAUUAAAAUUUAUUUUUUAUUUAAAUGUAGAAUAUGAUACAAUGAUUUAUAAUUAUAUUUAUUCUGAGUUGAGUAAUAUGAUUGUAGAUUUUAAUUUAUCAGAAUUGAUAGAAUGUGUUCAAUUUAUAUCAUUAUUUAAAAAUAAAAAAUGGAUUAAUAAUAAAGUAUUUUAUAAAUUUAUUGAUGAAAUAAUUAAAAGAAAUAAUGAAAUUCAAAAUUGUACAAACAAAUAUUUAAUUACUAUUAUAAAAUCUAUUUCUCGUCUUAAUUAUGAAAUUAAUAAUAUACAAAGUUUGUUAGAUUCGUUUAAAAACAGUUGGGAACAAGAGAAAGAUAUACAUUUACUUAUAAAAGUUAUUUAUAAUUUAUUUUUAUGUAAUUAUUAUCAUUAUAAAAAUAUGAAUCAAUUAAUUACUAUAUUAAAGGAGGAACUUGUACCAACACAAGGACAACAAGGAGAACUAACAGAAACAGAUAAUUACAAAAUAUCUACAAAGUAUCCAUAUAAUCAUAAUAUUAUUUUAGAUACAAAUUCAAAUGGUUAUGAUAAUAAAACAAAAGUACACAAUACUAAUGUUGAUAUUUCUUAUGAUAAUAUAAAUAAUAUACACCAAUUAUAUUUUAACACAGAUAAAAAACAAAAAGACAUAAUAAUUAAUGAUAAUAUAUCUUCAAUUAAUUUAUAUCGAUUAAAAUUUAUUGAUAUUUUAAUAAGAUCUGAUAACUAUCUUUACAAUCAUUUUUAUUUGUUAAAUUCUCACUUCUUUGAUUUUAUUAAAAAAGUUAAAAUAAAAGAUAAAAACAUACCGGAGACCGUUUUUAGCAAACAGGCAAAAUUUUUUAUAAAGGAAAACGGGUUUAAAAUAAAACAUACUUAUGUAAGCAUAUACCCCAUAUACGUGUUGCUAGAUUUUAAAAACAUAUAUGUGGAAUUAGUACACCAAAUUUUUAUUAACAAAAAAUUGAAAGAUAAUUUAAAUAAAUUUCAUAAACACAACCUAAAUUAUAAAAUAAAAAAUAUGAAAUUUUUAGGAUGGGAACCUAUACUUUUAUACGAACACGAAUGGAAAAAAUUAAGAAAUUAUAAUGAAAAAUUUGAAUACAUAAAAAAGGCUUUAAAAAAGUAUAUAAAUGUGCACACAUCCAAUUAAAAACAAUAAAAACAAACUAAAAAGUGUAGGGGAAAAAAAA
rnacentral:lncRNA from 1 species